CGAAUGCUGACAUAAGUAACGAUAAAGCGGGUGAAAAGCCCGCUCGCCGGAAGACCAAGGGUUCCUGUCCAACGUUAAUCGGGGCAGGGUGAGUCGACCCCUAAGGCGAGGCCGAAAGGCGUAGUCGAUGGGAAACAGGUUAAUAUUCCUGUACUUGGUGUUACUGCGAAGGGGGGACGGAGAAGGCUAUGUUGGCCGGGCGACGGUUGUCCCGGUUUAAGCGUGUAGGCUGGUUUUCCAGGCAAAUCCGGAAAAUCAAGGCUGAGGCGUGAUGACGAGGCACUACGGUGCUGAAGCAACAAAUGCCCUGCUUCC
rnacentral:rRNA from 1 species